rnacentral:snoRNA from 1 species
AUGUCAUGGUUGGGACAUUGCAUGAGCUUCCUAUUGAAUGUUUCCCAUGCCUCAUAAAAAGGUUCUCUAUUCAAUUGGUGAAAGUUAAUAAUUUUAUCAUGUAAUU